rnacentral:rRNA from 1 species
GACGAACCGUGCGAACGUUAUUCGGAAUCACUGGGCUUAAAGCGCGUGUAGGCGGAUGGGUACGUCGGUCGCUGAAAUCCCCCGGCUCAACCGGGGAACGGGCGCCGAAACGACCCGUCUGGAGGGACGUAGGGGGACCUGGAACUUCCGGUGGAGCGGUGAAAUGCGUUGAGAUCGGAAGGAACGCCCGUGGCGAAAGCGAGGUCCUGGACGUCUACUGACGCUGAGACGCGAAAGCGUGGGGAGCAAACAGG